GUAUCAAAUCAGAAUUUACUAAAAACUGAGUGACCAAAUAAGCUACAACCUUUAAAAAAAGAAAAGCAUUCCCUUGUACCAGAAAUUUAUGACAGAAACUAUAUAAAAAGGGGUAUUCAAAUUCUUAAGCUUUAAUCGUUCUUUCUGCACAUCUCUUUGGUUGUUCGAAGGCUAAUUUUUUAAUACUUGGAUGGGUGCACCUAAACAGAAGUGGACUCCAGACGAAGAAGCUGCUCUUAAAGCUGGGGUGCGUAAGCAUGGACCAGGCAAAUGGCGGACAAUCCUCAAGGACCCAGAAUUUAGUGGAGUGUUGAACGCGCGUUCAAAUGUAGAUCUGAAGGACAAGUGGAGGAACAUGAGCGUGAUGGCAAAUGGCUGGGGUUCUAGAGAGAAAGCAAGGUUGGCUCUCAAAAGAAUGAAUCAAGCCCAUAAACAGGAGGAGAGUUCUUUAGCUCUUACCACUGAGGCUCAUAGUGAUGAGGAAAUUGCUGAAGCAAGACUAGCUACUACUUCUAGUGGUACUCCACAGAUUGGUGGGUCAAAAAGAUCUAUCAUAAGAUUGGAUAAUCUUAUAAUGGAGGCUAUAAGCAACUUGAAGGAGCUGGGUGGUUCCAACAAGACUACUAUAGCUACAUACAUAGAGGAUCAAUACUGGGCACCUCCAAACUUUAAAAGGCUACUUUCAGCGAAACUUAAGUAUUUAACUGCAACUGGGAGACUUAUUAAGAUGAAGCGAAAGUAUAGAAUAGCACCAAUGCCAGUAUUAUCUGACAGAAGAAGAAUCCCUUCCGUUCCUCUCUUGGAAAGCAGGCAGAGGAUCUCCUCUAGGGUUGAUCAGGAUGAUAUAAACAUGCUCACUAAGGCUCAAGUAGAUUUGGAGUUAACUAAGAUGAGUAUGAUACCUCAAGAGGCAGCAGCUGCUGCUGCACAAGCUGUUGCAGAAGCAGAAGUAGCCAUAGCAGAAGCUGAGGAUGCUUCUAGAGUGGCUGAUGUUGCUGAGGCUGAAGCCGAAGCUGCACAAGCCUUUGCAGAAGCUGCAAUGAAGGCACUACGAGGGAGAAGCACCCCAAGGACGGUUUAUUAAUUGGAGAGCUGGAAUGACUUAAUAACAUAUCGGUUGAUGGUUCAAAGUUCUCCCCAUUUCAACAAUAAACAGACUCACAAGCAUCUUUAUAUGGAACUUUCCAGAGUUGAGGUUCAAUAUGCCACUUAGAGCUUUGCUGGAUUUUCUUCCAGUUUGUUUAUAUCCAAAUCUUUAGCCAACUCACUUGUUGGCUUGUAAAUAUGGUAAAAAGUAAUGGAAAUGUAUAAUCCAGUGUUUGUGAUGGUAAAGCCUUUCAAAAAGUAUCAUAUUCAUGUCCCUCUUCACCAGCCGUGGGCGCCUUCAAGGGGGGGAAUAGAGAGUUCCAGACUUGUGAAAUGUACUUGUAAAUGGAAACAGGGAUUCACCUAAGUAGUUGUAUUUCUAGUCUUAGGUCCUUCCACAAGAUUUGAACUGAUGAAACAAAGAAUUGACAAUAUGACUUUCCAUUCCAGUGAGUCAAGAAGGCUGAAUUCUGAAUAAAUAAGUUUCCACGAUCCCAA